rnacentral:rRNA from 1 species
GACGAACGCUGGCGGCGUGCCUAAUACAUGCAAGUCGAACGCGUCUACGUUAAUGAAAUCAAUGUGCUUGCACGGCGAUGGAUUUAACAUUAGACGAGUGGCGAACUGGUGAGUAACACGUGGGUAACCUGCCCUCAAGCAGGGGAUAACACUUGGAAACAGGUGCUAAUACCGUAUAACAACAAAAACCGCAUGGUUUUUGUUUGAAAGAUGGUUUCGGCUAUCACUUGAGGAUGGACCCGCGGCGUAUUAGCUAGUUGGUGAGGUAAUGGCUCACCAAGGCAAUGAUACGUAGCCGACCUGAGAGGGUAAUCGGCCACAUUGGGACUGAGACACGGCCCAAACUCCUACGGGAGGCAGCAGUAGGGAAUCUUCCACAAUGGACGAAAGUCUGAUGGAGCAACGCCGCGUGAGUGAAGAAGGUUUUCGGAUUGUAAACCUCUGUCUUCGGGGACGAUAAUGACGGUACCCGAGGAGGAAGCCACGGCUAACUACGUGCCAGCAGCCGCAGUAACAC